CUUCUGUCUGACUCCUGUCUCACUUCUGUCUGACUCGUGACUCACGCCUGUCUGACUCGUGACUCACGCCUGUCUGACUCGUGACUCACGCCUGUCUGACUCGUGACUCACGCCUGUCUGACUCGUGACUCACGCCUGACUGUCUCAGUCCUGCUGACUGUCUCCUGCUCUCUGAUUGGUCACUGCAGGGCGUUACAGCUCAGAGAGUGAUGUGUGGAGUUACGGCAUCCUCCUGUGGGAGACCUUCAGUCUGGGGGUGUGUCCUUAUCCUGGGAUGACCAAUCAGCAGGCCCGAGAGCAGGUGGAGAAAGGUUACAGGAUGGCGUGCCCUCAGCGUUGCCCUGAAGACGUAUACAAAGUUAUGCAGCGCUGCUGGCAGUAUAACCCUGAGGAGCGGCCCAAGUUCUCCGAGCUGCAGCGAGACCUGGCCGCCAUCAAGAAGAAGUGAUGACAUCAUCACACACCUUGCCGCCGCCGCUGCCAUUAAGAACUGAUGACGCCAUCACGCACCUCGCCUCAUCAGCUUCAGUUUAGCCUCGUCCUCAGCAGCAGAAGAGUUCCCUUUUUCAGGCUUCUUUGUGGUGGGUGUGGUCAGCAGGUGGAGGCGGGCGUGGCCAGCAGGUGGAGGUGAUACAACAGGAAGUAUUUUUAAAAUGUUUCGGGGGAAACACAAAAAAGCAGAAAGGCUGCGCCACCUGAUGAGCAGCCGAACAAACAUUUAAAAUCAGACAGGUUGACCUGCUGCUGUUAGCAUGUAGCUGAUGUUGGAACUCGUUAAACUAUAACUCAGGUGUGAAGGACGCCUCGAGGUUAGCACGGACAAAGCUAGCAUCUGAAAACACGUCGACACUACAGCCAGCCUGUUGGUCAAACAGGAAGUUUGCUCAUCGAGCUAACGACUUACCAGAUGCUAAUAAGUUCAGACGCGGUCACAUACUGAUCAGGACGCGAUGACAGAAGCCCCUAAACUUUCUUUAAAGAGAAUUUUAAACCUCCUUUCAGCUGAAAAUCAGACGUCUUCAUGGUUAGAUGUCUGUAGAGCGCCAUCACCCCUAGCGUUUCACACAAGGUCACAUUCACACCCUCAACGGCCUCCAGGAGCAGUUUGGGGUUCAGUAUUUUGCCCGAGGACACUUUGUCAUGCAGACCGGGGGAGCCGGGGAUCGAACCACCGACCUGCUGAUAAGUGGACGACCCCCUGAGCCACAGCCGCCCCGUUCUGCAGUCACAUGAUGUAACUGUAACGUCUUUUUACAGGCCGAAGCUGAAAGCAGUGACGUCGGCUGUCUGAGCCGUUAGCUUAAAGGCUAACGUGUGUUUCCACGUCAUGCUGGUGCUGAAGUGACUCGUAGGCUCAGAGAGGUUCGGGUCCAGAUGCUGCAGCCAAACUCCUUCGGCUCAGACUGUAACACCAGGUGACACCACGAAGGAUCCGAGGACUCCCGCCGACCCCCUUGGUUUCUAACAGGAAGCCGAAGUCUCUGAAAUCUGCUCAGGUUCAGUUUAUUAUCUGAUUUGUUACAAACCAACCACCUGCAGUCGGUGCAAGCUAACAGAUUAGCUUGCAGGUGUUAGCGGUCUGUGUAAUGAGCCUCUAAUGCUACAGUUUAUCAUCAGCGUCUCAGAGCUCAGCUGAUUGGACAGGAGGAACAGACCUCUCUUCCUGUUUCCGUUGAUCAGCUGACAUGCAGCGUGUGUGUUUGUGCGUUUGUGUGUGUCAGCAGGAAGCUUUAAUGAACCGUUGUCAUUCCCAGAGCGUCUUAGCUACGCUUUGUACCGGCGCACACGGCAGCGUCAUAGUUCAACGCUAAAAGUCCCACAGAAGAGUCUAAGGAGGUGUCCGGGCUCGACGGUGGGCCAGAAACCGGACCUUCACCCUUGGGGCCCGUCUUUGUUUCCCACGUGAAACAAAAAGUCAGCUUUGGUUCCUUUUACUUAUGUUAAGUUCUCUACUUUAAGUCACGCGGUUAUUUUAACCCAAACCCUGAUCUUUUCCUAAACAAAUUGCAACGCUUCACGUUAAACACUAGUUUUAUUUUGAAAGUCUAACAGGAUGUAUGUGCAUAUUUAUUGUUGAUAACUUGACCGUGGCGCCCUACAUGUACAGGCGCCCACACGUGACGCCCUGUGAUGAGAAGGUGUUGGACCUGAAGUCCGGAGCCUCGAACACUCAAAUCGUUUCAACACUAAAAAAAAAUUCUGACACUUCUUACUAAAUAAGCUAAAAAGGAUUCGAGCCACGCCCCCCUGUCACUGCGGUAACCAUAGCAACAGCUCAAACUCUAAAAACGUUUCUGCUGCUGAGGACCAAUCAGCUGUCAGCACCAACACUGUUUCUACUUUUAUUUAUUUGUUUUGACUUUAUAAACUGACCUUUAUUCUGAAAAAACAGCUGUCAAUCAUCACACAGACCACGCCCACUGAUCUUUGUUGUUUUAAGGAAAUGUUUUUGACCAAUCAGAGACUUCAAGUAUUUUGUUGUUUCUAAAAGUUAAUUUGCUUUAUUAAAGCAUUAAAUUAAAUUUAUAAAAAUAAAAUGACAUCAUCGGCACUUCUCUCCUGGUUGUCGUGGUAACUGAAAUGAUGUUGGACCCUUAAAAUGUUUAAAAAAGACAAAGUUUAAUAUAAGUAUCUGUGUAAAUGAAAGGUGAGUCCUGAUUGGUCAACAUCACUUCCUGGACUGUGUGAGGGCGGAGCCUAAGUGUUAGUGAUGUCAGAGCGCCGCCUACUGUUACUGUAAAUAAACAAAGAUGUUUUCUGACUUUUUAACACUAAUCGUCUUUUAUAUCUGUUGAAACUUUAUAAAAACAUUAUUGUAGCAUUUAUUAUGAAAAUAAACAAAUCAUAUGAUCAAA